ACCAUCUACUAACUCUUCUCGUAUUUCUUUUUUUUCAGCGUUGGCCUGAAGGUGCUGACUGAGAAGGACACCCGCAACAUCGACACCAUCAACGAGGUCUGGCGAGCUGUCACCGCUUGGGAGACCCUCCAGUGUGACAUCAUGUUCCCCAAGUGUGACGGCCCCAAAGCCCUGGAGAUCGUCAACGAGGUGGCCGUCGGCGCUGGCAAAUAAGAGGCCCGGCGCGUGUCUCUCCAAGCUCCUCCCCACCUCCUCCUCCAUACCUCCGUCCUCCUCCUGGUAGCGAGGAGUCCUCACCAGGGGAUGGGCCAAGAAGUAAUAGUUAAACCUCCCGAAGAAAUAGUCUCAGGGGAGGGCCAUUUUACCGUGUUUGUUAAAGUGUGUGCGUGUGUGUGUGUGCCUGCUGCUGUGUCCGGAUCACUGCGUCUCUUGGGAACACCCACCUAUACGGGGACCGGAUCUUCACUGACGAAACCCGGUGAAUCGAAGGAUCCGCGAGAUUGUCAUGGACUUUCGUGGGAAAUCAAUUUUGGCUGAUUUCUUUUUUUCUCAAGGCCAGCGAUUAUUGGUACUUAACUGCACAGCUUAUCUCCUCGCCUGGCCAAGGUGUUGGGUUAUGAAAGACUAAGCCCGUAUUUUUGCUUCUAUACGGAGUUAAUUUUUUUUCUUUUGGCUAAAGAUGCAUGAGAAAGAAAAGUGUGUACCUGACUCAGUGAUCGAAAACGUAUUAAUCAUAUGUCAAAUUCUUCACUGGAUGUGAGGAGAAUAAAUAAUCUCACAAUCCCUUGUAAAAUAAAAACAAAACAAAAAGAAUACAGAGAGAGAAAAAAAAGAAACGUAAAAGAAAUAGUAAACCGGGAAGGGUAAAAUGCACAUGUAAAUAGUUUUCCAGGUGUUCGCAUGACAUGAAGAGCUUCGUCCGUCUUUCAUGCACUGGCCGUUCCUGUAGCGGCGACUGUACAAGGGACCCUGACCCAGACAACACGGCGGCCUCUGUACAAAUGGGCGUGUGUGUGACAGAGAUUCUCCCAGUGCUCCUUGUUAUACAUUUAUUAUUUAUUCUUGUUACCCCCGUGUGGAUUUAACUUAUUGUUAUUAGUUAUUUAUUCCUGUUGAUAUUUAUUAGUAGUUGUCUCCGAGGUCUGUUAAUCCUCGGUAUUGUGGAACAAUAAAUGAUUUUAUUUAGG